UGCACGUAGGAUCUUUGAUCAUGAUUCUCAGCCAUCACUAUCAAUGGCAAAAGCCCUUGGAACCGUGUCAGGAGUCGUCCCAUACCUAGCUCUCAGUCCACGCCAAAACCCGGGAGGUGAGGCAACGCCCAGAGUGGCUCUUUGCUGGGGCUCCUUGCCGUGACUGGGGCGGGUGAUUGGCGCACGACACUGGUCAUCCGCAAUGAGGGAGGGGCCAUCCCUGGCCAUCCCUGGCCUCCCGUCCAGCCGCCCAUCACGCUGGCUGAUUUGUUGGUCCGGGUUUUAACUCCCUGCUGGCGCUCUGGCAAAACCCCGUGCCAGCGUCCACCUGAAAUUGGGAUAUAGGUUAACUGCGCACGCACGAGGGGAAGGGGAAGAAAGAGGAAAAACCUUGGAAGGGUUGGAACUAGUCUCCACAGGUGGUUUGAGCCAUAUUCUAUUUGGGGUCCCUUGUAUCACAAUAUCAACCUGCUGAGCAUGGCGGGGUAUGGAGGAGGAGGAGGAGGUUCACCACGUCACGCCCUUUAUCCUCUGUUUGCUUGGUCUUUUUUGACGCCAUGGUUAUACCCUAGAAGGGUAAACAGUUAGAAACCGGGAGUUACAUGGAUUCGCUGAGGAGCUCCUUUGCAGACGUUAACAACAUCCAACAGUAAAUGCUUAAAACGGGUGAAAGUAAAACCCAAUAAAUAAUGGAAAUAAAAUUCAAAAACAAGAAC
rnacentral:sRNA from 1 species